rnacentral:rRNA from 1 species
ACGGAAGGCAGCAGUGGGGAAUUUUGCGCAAUGGGCGAAAGCCUGACGCAGCAACGCCGCGUGCGGGAUGGAGGCCUUCGGGUUGUAAACCGCUUUCAGCAGGGAAGAACACUGACGGUACCUGCAGAAGAAGCCCCGGCUAACUACGUGCCAGCAGCCGCGGUAAUACGUAGGGGGCGAGCGUUAUCCGGAUUCAUUGGGCGUAAAGCGCGCGUAGGCGGCCGCCUAAGCGGGACCUCUAAUCCUGGGGCUCAACCUCAGGCCGGGUUCCGAACUGGGCGGCUCGAGUUCGGUAGAGGAGGAUGGAAUUCCCGGUGUAGCGGUGGAAUGCGCAGAUAUCGGGAGGAACACCGAUGGCGAAGGCAGUCCUCUGGGCCGCAACUGACGCUGAGGCGCGAAAGCUGGGGGAGCGAACAGGAUUAGAUACCCUGGUA